UUUCCGUAGGUGAACCUGCGGAAGGAUCAUUAUUGAAUAAACCUGAUGUGGUUGUAGCUGGCCCUUUCGGGAGCAUGUGCACACCUGUCGUCUUUAUCUUUCCACCUGUGCACCUUUUGUAGACCUGGAUGUAACACUUUCCGAGGCAACUCGGUCGGGAGGAAUGCUGUCAGCUUUCCUUGAAUGUCCAGGCCUAUGUUUUCAUAUACCCCAAAGAAUGUAACAGAAUGUAUUAUUGGGCCUUGUGCCUAUAAACUAUAUACAACUUUCAGCAACGGAUCUCUUGGCUCUC
rnacentral:misc_RNA from 1 species